rnacentral:rRNA from 1 species
AUGAACGCUGGCGGCGUGCCUAAUACAUGCAAGUCGAGCGAACAGACGAGGAGCUUGCUCCUCUGACGUUAGCGGCGGACGGGUGAGUAACACGUGGAUAACCUACCUAUAAGACUGGGAUAACUUCGGGAAACCGGAGCUAAUACUGGAUAAUAUAUUGAACCGCAUGGUUCAAUAGUGAAAGACGGUUUUGCUGUCACUUAUAGAUGGAUCCGCGCCGCAUUAGCUAGUUGGUAAGGUAACGGCUUACCAAGGCAACGAUGCGUAGCCGACCUGAGAGGGUGAUCGGCCACACUGGAACUGAGACACGGUCCAGACUCCUACGGGAGGCAGCAGUAGGGAAUCUUCCGCAAUGGGCGAAAGCCUGACGGAGCAACGCCGCGUGAGUGAUGAAGGUCUUCGGAUCGUAAAACUCUGUUAUUAGGGAAGAACAAAUGUGUAAGUAACUAUGCACGUCUUGACGGUACCUAAUCAGAAAGCCACGGCUAACUACGU